GAAUUCGCCCUUAGAGUUUGAUCCUGGCUCAGGAUGAACGCUGGCGGCGUGCUUAACACAUGCAAGUCGAGCGAAGCACUUAAGAAAGAUUCUUCGGAUGAAUUCUUUAGUGACUGGGCGGCGGACGGGUGAGUAACGCGUGGAUAACCUGCCACAUACAGGGGGAUAACAGUUAGAAAUGACUGCUAAUACCGCAUAAGCGCACGGUGUUGCAUGGCACAGUGUGAAAAACUCCGGUGGUAUGUGAUGGAUCCGCGUUGGAUUAGGCAGUUGGCGGGGUAACGGCCCACCAAACCGACGAUCCAUAGCCGGCCUGAGAGGGUGAACGGCCACAUUGGGACUGAGACACGGCCCAAACUCCUACGGGAGGCAGCAGUGGGGAAUAUUGCACAAUGGGGGAAACCCUGAUGCAGCGACGCCGCGUGAGUGAAGAAGUAAUUCGUUAUGUAAAGCUCUAUCAGCAGGGAAGAAAAUGACGGUACCUGACUAAGAAGCCCCGGCUAACUACGUGCCAGCAGCCGCGGUAAUACGUAGGGGGCAAGCGUUAUCCGGAUUUACUGGGUGUAAAGGGAGCGUAGACGGCCGUGCAAGUCUGAUGUGAAAGGCUGGGGCUCAACCCCGGGACUGCAUUGGAAACUGUAUGGCUGGAGUGCCGGAGAGGUAAGCGGAAUUCCUAGUGUAGCGGUGAAAUGCCUAGAUAUUAGGAAGAACACCAGUGGCGAAGGCGGCUUACUGGACGGUAACUGACCUUGAGGCUCAAAGCGUGAGGAGCAAACAAGAAUAUAACCCCGGGUAAUCCCCCCCGUAAACCAAGAUUACCAGGGGUUGGGGGAACUUGGUUCCUUCGGGGCCCCCCCCAAACCAUAAAAUAAUCCCACUGGGGGAAUACUUUCCCCAAAUGGAACUCAAAGGAAAUUGACGGGGAACCCCCCCCACGGGUUGGAACCUGGGGUUUUAAUU
rnacentral:rRNA from 1 species